rnacentral:rRNA from 1 species
GACAGAGGUCUCAAGCGUUAGGCGGAAUCACUGGGCUUAAAGCGUGUGUAGGCGGCUUCCUAAGUACCUUGUGAAAUCCCCGGGCUUAACCCGGGAACUGCUUGGUAUACUGGGUGUCUUGAGCCAACUAGGGGCGACCGGAACAAACGGUGGAGCGGUGAAAUGCGUAGAUAUCGUUUGGAACGCCAAUGGUGAAAACAGGUCGCUGGGGUUGUGCUGACGCUGAGACACGAAAGCCAGGGGAGCGAACGGG